rnacentral:rRNA from 1 species
AUUGAACGCUGGCGGCAUGCUUUACACAUGCAAGUCGAACGGUAACAGGCCGCAAGGUGCUGACGAGUGGCGAACGGGUGAGUAAUGCAUCGGAACGUGCCCAGUCGUGGGGGAUAACUACUCGAAAGAGUAGCUAAUACCGCAUACGUUCUAUGGAUGAAAGCGGGGGACCGUAAGGCCUCGCGCGAUUGGAGCGGCCGAUGUCAGAUUAGGUAGUUGGUGGGGUAAAGGCUCACCAAGCCAACGAUCUGUAGCUGGUCUGAGAGGACGACCAGCCACACUGGGACUGAGACACGGCCCAGACUCCUACGGGAGGCAGCAGUGGGGAAUUUUGGACAAUGGGCGCAAGCCUGAUCCAGCAAUGCCGCGUGCAGGAAGAAGGCCUUCGGGUUGUAAACUGCUUUUGUACGGAACGAAACGGCUCUGGUUAAUACCCGGGGCUAAUGACGGUACCGUAAGAAUAAGCACCGGCUAACUACGUG